CUGUGGAGCUGCCAGGGGCACCACGAGGAUGACACCUGCCCCCAGAAGAUCUUCAGGAAAUACAUCCGCAGCAAACAGCCCAAGAGCAGAGAGCUGGCGCUGCGCGGGCUGAGGAACCUUUAUGCUGGGAGGAUGCAGCUGCUGCUACCCGACGCGCUGCUGUGGCUGCAGGACAUGCGGGCUGACAUCAAACUGCAGGCCAUACAUCUGCUGCAGGACAUUGCGGCACAGCACCCCGCCAGCAUCCGAGGUGUGCUCAGCCAGCUGGCCAUACAGCUGCUGUCCUGCUUCAAUGAGGACAACGCAGAGGUGCGCUGGCGCUCCAUGGAGCUCUUUGCGCUGCUGCUGGAGGCACCAGGCAG
rnacentral:lncRNA from 1 species